UUGGAAGACAACUGGUCCAGGAACACCUCGGCCCUCUUUCUGCUGGAGUCCUGGCCCAGUACCUCCUUGUACUCCACCAGGGAGAACACCUUGUCGUUCACCAGGGUUUCCUGGUCGACCUCGCGGGUUUUUGUUUCUUCUGCUUCGUGAUGAACCACUUCUUGGCUCCACUCCCGAACAUCUUGAGGCUGACGAGUUGGACCAAGGCUUCUUCAACGGUUCUUUCGAUACAGCGACUGAGAGAGAAAGAUCGCAUGUUGAUGUUUCAAACCGGUGAGGCUACCAUCCAUGACACGUCCUGCAUCCCCUGGUGGAGAAGCCUAGGCAUCAACAUGUCCUACCAUCUCCCCCUGGAAACAAACACCCGUCCCGGCUUUGUUGUGGUUCACUGAGUGUCUGGGACAGGAAGAGACUAAUCUGGACAGUGGCCUGCAGCAAAAUCCCACUGUAGCCUGGUGCUGAUGGAUGAGAUAAGAGGAUUAUCAGAGUUGUCUAAGUACACUGCUCCAAACUGCUCAGUGCCACUGGUGCACCUGGAAGACACCACAUGGGUUCAAUGUCAGUUUGGUUAUGGUUACUUGAUUCAAAAAAUCUAUUUUUAGUGUUUCUGUUCAUGCAUUGAAUAUACUGUUUGUCUAGAUUUGGAUCCAUCCCGAAGAGAAAUGAUCCAGUCAAUGGUCACAGGAUGUACGCUGACCUAGGAUCAGACCCAAUACCAGGCUGGAUACAGGGUGUAUCUUACUCAUUAGACUGAUCCUAGAUCAAUACUCCGACUCUCAGUCUGGAUACAGGCCCUGUGUCUAAUUCAUUACACUGAUCCUAGAUCUGUUACAGGCCGUGGAGUUGCAUGUAUCAAGUGUCCUUGUUUAGUAUUGCGGAUCCAGGAUCAGCCUUUCUAGAUUAUAAUGAGGAAGAAUACAGCUAUCAUGCUUUGUCUAUAAAAAAUGUAAUAUUGCCAGAUUAGACCUCCUACUCAAUAAAGACCUUUGAUAAUACAGA